GGAUUGUGAAUCCACCAAUGCGCGA
rnacentral:tRNA from 1 species